AGGAUGGUGAUGAAUUGGCUUCUCGAAGCUCUUCUGACAGAGAGUGGAAAUGGUAGCUACCAUGGCCACGGGAUGUCCUAGCUCCCCUGCGCAGAAAGUAAAACUGAAGAGUAACCAUGCAUCACAUAACUACUGCGAGAAAUGCAGAAGUCCAAGGAGGUCCUCGUACCUGGUUCCUGAUGUAAGCAAGGCUUAAGGCCCAAGCGCAAAGACCCUCACCCAGCCCCACUCCUCUCCAGUAUAAAUACCACCUUUAAUAUGCAAA